rnacentral:rRNA from 1 species
GACGAACCGUGCGAACGUUAUUCGGAUUCACUGGGCUUAAAGGGCGCGUAGGCGGACGAGCAAGUCCGGGGUGAAAUCUUUCGGCUUAACCGGAAAAGGGCCUCGGAUACUGCUCGCCUUGAGGGAGGUAGGGGCAUGUGGAACUUCCGGUGGAGCGGUGAAAUGCGUUGAUAUCGGAAGGAACGCCGGUGGCGAAAGCGACGUGCUGGCCCUCUUCUGACGCUGAGGCGCGAAAGCCAGGGGAGCAAACGGG